rnacentral:rRNA from 1 species
AACGUAGGAGGCAAGCGUUAUCCGGAUUUACUGGGUGUAAAGCGCGUGCAGGCGGUCAGGCAAGUCGCGUGUGAAAGCGCCCGGCUCAACCGGGCGAGGCCGCGCGAAACUGCCUUGACUGGAGGCCGGUAGAGGCGUGUGGAAUUCCGGGUGUAGUGGUGAAAUGCGUAGAGAUCCGGAGGAACACCAGUGGCGAAGGCGACACGCUGGACCGAGCCUGACGCUCAGACGCGACAGCAUGGGGAGCGAACGGG